AACGAACGCUGGCGGCAGGCCUAACACAUGCAAGUCGAGCGCCCCGCAAGGGGCGCGGCGGACGGGUGAGUAACGCGUGGGAACGUACCCUUUGCUACGAAAUAGCCUCGGGAAACUGGGAGUAAUACCGUAUGUGUCCUUCGGGAGAAAGAUUUAUCGGCAAGGGAUCGGCCCGCGUUGGAUUAGGUAGUUGGUGGGGUAAUGGCCUACCAAGCCGACGAUCCAUAGCUGGUUUGAGAGGAUGAUCAGCCACACUGGGACUGAGACACGGCCCAGACUCCUACGGGAGGAAGCAGUGGGGAAUCUUAGACAAUGGGCGCAAGCCUGAUCUAGCCAUGCCGCGUGAGCGAUGAAGGCCUUAGGGUUGUAAAGCUCUUUCAGGGGGGAAGAUAAUGACUGUACCCCCAGAAGAAGCCCCGGCUAACUCCGUG
rnacentral:rRNA from 1 species